rnacentral:rRNA from 1 species
UGGGGGAGUAUUGCACAAUGGGGGGAACCCGUGAUGCAGCGACGCCGCGUGUGUGAAGAAGCGCCUCGGCGCGUAAAGCCCUGUCAGCAGGGAAGAAAAUGACGGUACCUGAAGAAGAAGCCCCGGCUAACUACGUGCC